ACUCCUACGGGAGGCAGCAGUGGGGAAUAUUGGACAAUGGGCGAAAGCCUGAUCCAGCCAUGCCGCGUGUGUGAAGAAGGCCCUCGGGUUGUAAAGCACUUCAGUGAGGAAGAACGCUUGUGGGCUAAUACCCUGCAAGGAAGACAUCACUCACAGAAGAAGCACCGGCUAACUCCGUGCCAGCAGCCGCGGUAAUACGGAGGGUGCGAGCGUUAAUCGGAAUUACUGGGCGUAAAGCGCGCGUAGGCGGCUUGAUAAGCCGGUUGUGAAAGCCCCGGGCUCAACCUGGGAACGGCAUCCGGAACUGUCAGGCUAGAGUGCAGGAGAGGAAGGUAGAAUUCCCGGUGUAGCGGUGAAAUGCGUAGAGAUCGGGAGGAAUACCAGUGGCGAAGGCGGCCUUCUGGACUGACACUGACGCUGAGGUGCGAAAGCGUGGGUAGCAAACAGGAUUAGAUACCCUGGUAGGCGUAGU
rnacentral:rRNA from 1 species